AGGGUUUGAUCCUGGCUCAGGAUGAACGCUAGCGGCAGGCCUAACACAUGCAAGUCGAGGGGCAGCACGGUGUAGCAAUACACUGGUGGCGACCGGCGCACGGGUGCGUAACGCGUAUGCAACCUACCCAUAACAGGGGGAUAACACUGAGAAAUUGGUACUAAUACCCCAUAACAUCAGGACCGGCAUCGGUUCUGGUUGAAAACUCCGGUGGUUAUGGAUGGGCAUGCGUUGUAUUAGCUGGUUGGUGA
rnacentral:rRNA from 1 species